AACCAUUCUCACCUGCGGCUAGACCUGCGGAAGGAUCAUUACACAAUAAACAUAUGAAGGCUGCACCGCCAACAGGCGGCAAGGCUGGAGUAUUUUAUUACCCUUGUCUUUUGCGCACUUGUUGUUUCCUGGGCGGGUUCGCCCGCCUCCAGGACCACAUGAUAAACCUUUUUUAUGCAGUUGCAAUCAGCGUCAGUACAACAAAUGUAAAUCAUUUACAACUUUUAGCAACGGAUCUCA
rnacentral:misc_RNA from 1 species